rnacentral:rRNA from 1 species
ACUCCUACGGGAGGCAGCAGUGGGGGAAUAUUGGACAAUGGGCGAAAGCCUGAUCCAGCCAUGCCGCGUGUGUGAAGAAGGUCUUCGGAUUGUAAAGCACUUUAAGUUGGGAGGAAGGGCAGUUACCUAAUACGUGAUGUUUUGACGUUACCGACAGAAUAAGCACCGGCUAACUCUGUGCCAGCAGCCGCGGUAAUACAGAGGGUGCAAGCGUUAAUCGGAAUUACUGGGCGUAAAGCGCGCGUAGGUGGUUAGUUAAGUUUGGAUGUGAAAUCCCCGGGGCUCAACCUGGGAACUGCAUUCAAAACUGAACUGACUAGAGUAUGGUAGAGGGUGGUGGAAUUUCCUGUGUAGCGGUGAAAUGCGUAGAUAUAGGAAGGAACACCAGUGGCGAAGGCGACCACCUGGACUGAUACUGACACUGAGGUGCGAAAGCGUGGGGAGCGAAACAGGAUUA